rnacentral:rRNA from 1 species
AAUCCUUUGUAGCGAGUGCUGGCUCUCACCCACGCUUUUUGAUCCUUUUGUUGCUCCGCGGUCUGAUUCCCUAAUGUCUGGACACCCCAGGUGUUUCCUCGGAGGGCUUGCCUGCCGAUUGGAAAACCUAACACCAUUUGUACUUGCUUUAGACGUUAUUCAUAAUGUUAAUAUUACAACUUUCAUCACCGGAUCACUUGGUUCUGGCAUCGAUGAACAAAGCACCGUAAUGCGAUAAAUAGUGUGAAUUGCAAAAUUCCCUGUAACAUCUCAUCUUUCAUCGCUCAUUGCACCCCUUGGUAUUCCAUGGGGCAUGCCUGUUCUAGCGUCAUUUGUACCCUCAAACUCUGCUUGUUGUUGGGUGUUUGUUCCCUGAACUCAUCUCAUUACAAUUGGUAGCCGGCAUGUUGGCCUGGAGCGCAGCACAAUUUGCGUCCUAUUCCACUAAUGGUGGACCCAUCUAGACCUAUAUUUUGCUCUUGACCUCCGAUCACGUAGGGAUACACGCUGAACUUAAGCAUAUCAUUAAACCGGAGGAAAAAA